GACGAACGCUGGCGGCGUGCUUAACACAUGCAAGUCGAACGGAAAGGCCCUGCUUGCAGGGUACUCGAGUGGCGAACGGGUGAGUAACACGUGGGUGAUCUGCCCUGCACUUCGGGAUAAGCCUGGGAAACUGGGUCUAAUACCGGAUAGGAGCCAUUUUUAGUGUGAUGGUUGGAAAGUUUUUUCGGUGUAGGAUGAGCUCGCGGCCUAUCAGCUUGUUGGUGGGGUAAUGGCCUACCAAGGCGGCGACGGGUAGCCGGCCUGAGAGGGUGGACGGCCACAUUGGGACUGAGAUACGGCCCAGACUCCUACGGGAGGCAGCAGUGGGGAAUAUUGCACAAUGGGCGCAAGCCUGAUGCAGCGACGCCGCGUGGGGGAUGACGGCCUCCGGGUUGUAAACUCCUUUCGCUAGGGACGAAGCUUUUUGCGACGGUACCUAGAUAAGAAGCACCGGCUAACUACGUG
rnacentral:rRNA from 1 species